rnacentral:tRNA from 1 species
CUCUUGGUGAGCUCACUUGGUAGAGCGCUCCACUGGAAAUCGAGAGGUCCCUGGUUCGAUACCAGGGCUAGACG